rnacentral:rRNA from 1 species
UACGGAGGUGGCAAGCGUUGCUCGGAAUCACUGGGCGUAAAGGGCGCGUAGGCGGGGAGGUAAGUCGGGUGUGAAAUCCCCCGGCCCAACCGAGGAACUGCGCCCGAGACUGCUUCUCUUGAGUCCCGGAGAGGAAGAUGGAAUUCCCGGUGUAGCGGUGAAAUGUGUAGAGAUCGGGAGGAACACCGGUGGCGAAGGCGGUCUUCUGGACGGUGACUGACGCUGAGGCGCGAAAGCGUGGGGAGCAAACGGG